CCCGAAAUGAACGCAGUUACUCCGUCGCAUCACAUUACUUUGAGACUCUGGAUGUGAAUAAAACGCAAGAAAGGACGAAGUGGAGACCAGGCUCUUUCAUUCUUCAGAAAGGACUCCACCGGACGCGGGGCGAGACGCAGCCGCCCCACUGAGCUCAAAAUGGUCCCAGAUGGGCUGUGACAGGUUUGACGGGUGGCCACAGAUCUCCGGUGUCAGUGUUUCCAGGGGGAGGAUUAUUUUGGGCUUCUGGCCUGUGUUUCAGACUCAUGUCCAGACGACAAACAAGCACGAAACUCGUCUCAUCCUACACAGAGGAAGGACAGAGACCUCUUUCCACAAACAAACGCUCCGCUUUAGCCGUCCAGAAACAGCCAAGUAAACAAAAAUGCUAAUAAAUCAGUCAGCUUCCAGUUCGAGACGGCGAUUAGCAGCAGGAAGAAAAAUAAACACGAUUAGAAAAGCUGUUCCACAGCAAAACUGACUGAUUGUCACAGGCCUUAACAAUUAGCACUAGUAUUUAGUUAAUGCGAACCUAUUAUGGAUUUUUGCAUCGUAUAAAGUUACUGUCUCUCAAAAGAAAGAGUUGACUCUGAAUCAUUGAAACGAGUCGUCUUUAAAACCAAUCCAAAGCCGCUUCUUGGUGACAUCAAAAAUAAAAAAAUUGCAUAUUUUUUGCCCACUUGUUGGUCUCAAAGAAAAUGCUAAUUCAUUUUUCGCCACUAGGUGUCGCUUUUGUAGCG